rnacentral:rRNA from 1 species
CAAACGACUCUCGGCAACGGAUAUCUCGGCUCUCGCAUCGAUGAAGAACGUAGCGAAAUGCGAUACUUGGUGUGAAUUGCAGAAUCCCGUGAACCAUCUAGUUUUUGAACGCAAGUUGCGCCCGAAGCCAUUAUGCCGAGGGCACUUCUGCCUGGGCGUCACAC